AGCCAAUCACAUUUGGCGAGGCGGGACUUGGCUCCGUUUGUGAACAUGUCUGCGAUAAGCAACAUUUCCAAGGUGGAAGAACUAAUGACAUAAAAUGGAUGGAGUUCGACUCUGAUUAUUAACUUUUUCUUACGGACAGGUUUUUGAACAACAAAAAAAUGGCACUUGGAACGAAAGUUGUUUCACUUUGUGCGCAAACCAGCAGUUAGUCGAAUGGCUACAAAAACAUAGACUCAUCAAGUCAAGGAUGAAAUGCAGACUGUGUAAAAAAAAAAAUGAAAUUCCAGAAGACACAAACAGGCGAUGGAUUCCAAUGGAAAUGUAGAAGACGAACACAUAGUAAAGUGAAAAAGACAUGCAGGGCGGGAUCAGUUUUUGAGAAAAGCAAGGUGACCUUACAAAACUGGAUGAAGUUCAUAUACCGUAUGGACGUGGGAGAGUAGGUGGAAGAUGGAAAAGGAAAAAGUGGGUGUUCGGCAUGCUGGCCAUUAAAGCUCAAAGACGACGACCGAUUUUGCGACUCGUAGAACGCCGUUCAAGAAAUCAUCUCAUUAUCAGAAGACAUGUUCGCCCAGGAUCCACAAUGUUAAGUGAUGAGUGGAGACACUACAGGGCUUUGACAGGGAUGGGCUACUCUCACUACUCUGUGAAUCACAGCAGGUUCUUUGUUAACCCAAAUCAUGGAGGACACACACAACAUCUUGAAAGGGCAUGGUCUACAUACAAAAGUCAGAUCUGGAGAUUGAGAGGCAACAAGACCGAGAAGCUCUUGAAGGAACACCUGGCCUGUAUUGAAUGGACUCAUUGGAUGGGGAUGGAGCACAGAUAUGGUCCUCUGGGGCGUUUGAUGAAGGAUAUUAGAAAGUAUUACUGCAUUUAAGACAUUACAUUGGAUAAUGUUAUUCAAACAUUGUUCAGUAAAGUAAUUUGAGGACAUAAAGCUAAUACAUUUUUUUAAACAGCC
ensembl:lncRNA